UUGGAUUAGAACAUUAUUAAGCCACGUUAAGAAUUUGGAGCGACGUGACAGUGAGUAAAUGAUGACAAAACAUUUUAAUUUGCGGUGAACUAUUCCUUUAAAAUGUGCAGCAAAUGCACAUAAACAAUGUAAAAGCCUUGCAGUUUAUGUAUUAGGAAAUCUUUUCAUGACAGUGAUAUGGUGGUGUUUUAAAUCAACAGAAUUAUAUAUUAAAUGUACAGUAUGUAAUGUUAUAGUAUGGCCUAUAAUCUCAGCCAUGGUAACUGAUACAGUCAAAAUCAUGCUGCAAACUUUAGCAUUACUUGUUAGUUACUAGUUUACUCUGAAAGAAACAUGAAGACAGUAUGUGAUCGCGAUGAGCGUUUGCAUAUAUCUAUCAGAACUAUUCACUGUGAUAACCAGAUUCUGCCUUAUGCUGAAGAUGCAGUUUUUGUCUGUUUUUGUUCUCUGUAGCUGAAGGUGUUUUCCAGUACUGUAAAAGUUGUCCUGGCGCACAGUUCUCAUUCGUCUUCUGGUGGCUUUGUGAAAUCAUAUGCCCAAAUGGGGAGGUUUACUACUCUUUUUAAAUCCUGUCACUUUCAUCUUUUUCUCAUAUUUCUCAGACUUUUAUACUCUAACCACUUUUGUAAGUGUGAGAAUUUUGUUUACAAAAUUGAAAAGGUAAAUACGAUCUUAAUGUUUAAAUGAUUGAAAUGCUGAAAAAUAUUUUACGAAAUUUUAUUAUCAGUGUAAAAUUUCUCUACGUACAAGGGGAUAAUCGGAUUUGGAUUAAUAUCUAUGCAAAGCAUUAACAAACAUACUAGAUCACAAAAAACAAAACUACAAAAAAAAAAAAAAAAAAAACUAAAGAAAAGGCUCAAACACAUGUACGGCUUUUACAGCAUCUGUUGGUUCUGAGUCCAUGCAGCUGAAUUUUACUUGUUACUUGGAUUGCUUUGUCUAUUGUCAGCAAAAAGGAAAAAAAGAGAAGCAGUUAAUGCAUGAAAACCGUUUCGAUCUUCUUGUAAGGGAUCUGAUUGCACCGUGUAAAUUUCCUGUAUAAAACAAAAGCAUGACCUACAUGUGCUUUGUCUCUGACAACUGUUUUCAUGAGGAUUAUGCUUCAUGUGUUGAAAAUGUAAAAUAAUUGACGGGAAGUAUGUGUCAGGUAAUCAGUUACGGUUAUAUUCUUUUACUUGACUGCCUCAUUGAAAAGAACAGCGUUGCUGAAACCAGAAUGUAUUUCAUCAUUUUUAUGUAGGACCAAACAUAUUACUGAAACUAGCAUUCUUUCUGUUACUGUGACGUUUGUGUACCUUUCCAUGUGUUUAAUAGCUGCCCUCUGCUUUGUUGUGGCCCCUCCAUUUCAUUUGCAAGAGGCUGCAUUGUACAGACACUCAUAGCUAUUGAGCUGUGAGCGGGUUUUGUUUUUAUUUUUAUUUUGCAUGUCUGACCAUCACAAGUAUUGGUGAUUGAUAAGCUGUGCACUUUUAUCUCUCUUUUUAUUUAACAUCUCUAUAUACGUGUUCUGCAUUUGUGAAAUUACUACAUGAAAUCACUUCCUACAUUUACUUGGCACUUUAAUAGAUACCCAAUCCAUUCCCGAUCUCCCCCCAUUUAUUUUUCACCUCUCUGAGUGACUGUUAAGUGCACUGGGUCUAUCCCCCCCCCCGUUUGGCCGACUUUGCCUUCUACUCUAAGACAAGUAUUUUUGAAAAGGAAAAAAGUAUCUGUUAUCUAUUUAUUAUUUUUUACUUGGUCAAUGCAAAAAAAAAUUAUAAUAAUAUAAAAAAAACUUUUUUAUGUAGUGUUAGGAAAAAGUAUAAAAGUUUCCCGAUAUUACCGAAAUGCAUUCAAGAAGGCAGGUUACCUUUCUGCAUCUCAAUUCACUGACCGUUUUACCUUUUAUAAAGCUUCAUCUGUGGAUCAUAGUGUAUUGUUACCAUGAACUGAACCAGUCCAGAUCAUAUCUGGUCCAGAAAGGAGAGCAUGCAGACAAGACAAGGUCCUUCAUCAUAAGUUAACCGAUAACUUGUUCAGUAUCUAAUGUAUGCACAGUUUUCGUGUAUAUAAAUGCUACACUUAUACAUUUCUAUAUUUUAAAAAGUAAGAGUAGAUCAUAAAAUGUCAGGAGUAUGGAGAAAAAAAAUGAAUUCUAUAUAUACAUGCAUUAAAUGAACUGUAUGUUUUUACAUUUUAAAAUGCUUGAAGUGGACGCUAUACUGUCCCUCUGUUCAGGGGUUCCACACUUUACUCAAUCUCAUGGUUUAAACACACAGAUCUGUUCAUCAUCAAGUGUGCUCACACUUCUAGCCAAAUCAUAAAAGAAUCCCUGCUGCAAAUGUACAUGCAGUUUUGCUUUUCAGCCUCUAUACACUGAACCUUGUUGAAGCUUUGUGAAAUAAUAUCUUCUUAUGUCUUUGUUUUGUAGUGUUUUCAGUAGAACUGUUAGUUUCUGCCGAUAUUCUUUUAGUUUGUGAUUUGUGUGUGUGUGUGCAUUGGGAAUUUUAUGUUUAAGUACUGUAAAAGUUGUCUUCACAUGCAUCAAGGUCUGUUUGCUGCAGUGUGUUGUAGAUUUGUGAUUUGUUUGCAGUGGUUGCUCUAUCCACUCACUUCCUAGAUUUUCAAAUAUCGGUUUUGGCCAGUUUUCUUUUAGCAAAAAUAUUUUCACAAGUGUCCUAAUAAUGCGGAAAAAUUUAAUAUAUUUAUUUUGCAGGAUACAAUCAAAACAAAUUAAGCCGUGUUUUCAUUUCGUUAACUUAUAUAGUUAUAUCUAAAGUUUAACAUUUCUAUAAUGAUGUGAACAAAAAUAUGAGUAUUCUAAAAAAUUGGGGAUGUAUGUUUUUUUUUUUUUUUAUACCUAAUUUCCAUAUAAUUCUCUUCAGUGAUGAAGACACUUCAAAUUUUAAAGUGGUUAUUUAUUUCAAAAGGUUUUUAAUUGCGCAGAUGCUAAUUUUCUGAGUGUGCCAAUAGAUCUUUAACCACCUUUAACCCAUUCAAAACAGUUUUUGUUUGUUAGUUUUUUUUGUGGCCCAUUCAUAGUUAAUUUUCUUUCUAUUAAUUUCCAGAUCAGUAAUUUGCCAAAACGACCAGUUUAUAGGGCCAGAAAAAGAAUAGUGCAGACAGUUUGCUUGUACACUUUAAUUGCAUUUUGUCUAUAAUUGACAAGCCAUUGAAAAAAAAUAUAUAAAGUUUGUUGUUUGUAAAAAAAUAAUAAUAAUUGAAAUGCUUCUGCUACUGACUGCUACUGUUAUGUAUUCAAUAUAGAGAUGCUCUUGAGUAAUUGUCAUUUUGCCACAGCAACUACCUAGUGACUUUGUUGACCAACGGUAAUAUUUUACUUUCUUAUUUUAGGACACCUUUAUUUAAAAACAAAGCAGUUAUGUACCUUGGUGUAUAAUCUCUCCCAGGGCCAACCAUUUACAUGAGACUCUAUUUGCCUUCAGACUUCAACACUAAAAAACCUGCUUUAUAUUGGGUGAACUUUUGCUGCAUGGUACUGAAUAUUAAAAUACCCGCAAGUCUCGAUGUGAUGUCCUGCUUUUUCGCAGUUAUCAAGCUCUGAGUAUAUCUGAACUCUCUGCUAAUGCAUUACUAAAACUUUUGCAACUGGAAAUAUCAUUUUUGACGAAGUGGUUUUGUAUCUCUUUUUUUUUCUUUAUGAACAAAAAAAACAUUGUUAUAGUGCUAAAGAGACAACUUGAUAUUGCAACCAACUGGAUUUGAAACGUAUACAUGACAAAACUUUAAAAUACUCUGUGCAUUUAAUGAAUGUGUCUCUGUGGUUCAUAUAUAUACAAAGGCAGCUAAUUUCUAUUUUUUUCAAUGUAUGAUAAUUCAGAUGUUGCACAUACAUUUGACUGCAAAGUUCAGACGUUAACUCAAUUUGUUGCAAGAAGACCUAACUAUACUCACCAAAUAUGCAAACCUAGCUUUCAGGAACAUAGAUCUGCAGCUUUGUGGUUUGUUUUAUCUGACCCUUUAAAACAAAAGGAAAAUAUGUUCCUAUCACUACAUGUUUUCUAUGAAAUAUAGAAAACAAAAUAAUAAUAAAAGAAUAUAAAACAUUGUGGGCUUUGUAAGUGUGCUACUUAUUUAAAACAAAAUGUUAUCAAGCUUAAAUUCCAUUGUCCUUACUGUAUUUUCCUGUGGAAGCUUAAGUCUUUGUACCUUUGCAUUAAUAUUUGUUUAAUGAAUUGAAUAAAAUGUUGAAACGCA